CUCCUAACUGUUUCCUGGCUUUGUACAACAUGAAAACAAACAAUAAGAUUCUUGAAUACCGUUAUCCCAUCAUACCCAAGUUCCAGAGAUCAAAGAGCAUCCUGUUCUACGCAAUUGCAACUAUCAUCUCAGGGACAGGAGAAGCCUCCGAGUAUCCCCGACAUUUACC